GAUGAACGCUGGCGGCGUGCCUAAUACAUGCAAGUCGAGCGAACGGACGAGGAGCUUGCUCCUCUGACGUUAGCGGCGGACGGGUGAGUAACACGUGGAUAACCUACCUAUAAGACUGGGAUAACUUCGGGAAACCGGAGCUAAUACCGGAUAAUAUAUUGAACCGCAUGGUUCAAUAGUGAAAGACGGUUUUGCUGUCACUUAUAGAUGGAUCCGCGCCGCAUUAGCUAGUUGGUAAGGUAACGGCUUACCAAGGCAACGAUGCGUAGCCGACCUGAGAGGGUGUGGGCCCACCCGGGAACUGGCCCCCGGCCCGGCCCCCAGCGGGGGGCGCCGGAGGGGAGUCUUCCUAAGGGGGCGAAGGCUGGACGGCACACCGCGGGGGGAGUGAGAAGGGUCUCGGGAUCUUAAACCUGUUUUAUGAGGAAGAAAAAAAUUUGUAAUAACCUAUGCCCUUCUUGCCGUUCCCUAAUCGAAGGGCCCCGGCUACCUCCGUC
rnacentral:rRNA from 1 species